UAGGGAAUCUUCCGCAAUGGGCGAAAGCUUGACGGAGCAACGCCGCGUGAGUGAUGAAGGUCUUCGGAUCGUAAAACUCUGUUAUUAGGGAAGAACAAAUGUGUAAGUAACUAUGCACGUCUUGACGGUACCUAAUCAGAAAGCCACGGCUAACUACGUGCCAGCAGCCGCGGUAAUACGUAGGUGGCAAGCGUUAUCCGGAAUUAUUGGGCGUAAAGCGCGCGUAGGCGGUUUUUUAAGUCUGAUGUGAAAGCCCACGGCUCAACCGUGGAGGGUCAUUGGAAACUGGAAAACUUGAGUGCAGAAGAGGAAAGUGGAAUUCCAUGUGUAGCGGUGAAAUGCGCAGAGAUAUGGAGGAACACCAGUGGCGAAGGCGACUUUCUGGUCUGUAACUGACGCUGAUGUGCGAAAGCGUGGGGAUCAACCAGG
rnacentral:rRNA from 1 species